GACAGAGGUCCCGAGCGUGAGGCGGAAUCACUGGGCUUAAAGCGUGUGUAGGCGGAUCGUUAAGUGCCUUGUGAAAUCCCAUGGCUUAACCAUGGAACUGCUUGGCAUACUGGCGAUCUUGAGCCACUUAGGGGCAACCGGAACAAAUGGUGGAGCGGUGAAAUGCGUAGAGAUGUGGAGGAACACCAGUGGCGAAGGCGGCUUUCUGGUCUGUAACUGACGCUGAGGCGCGAAAGCGUGGGGAGCAAACAGG
rnacentral:rRNA from 1 species